CACCUGGCCGCACAGCUCCGGGUCGGCGCAGGAGAACGCCCUGCCGGCGAGCCCAACGUCACCAACGGAAGGCCACCUCCGCCCGGCCGGGGCCAGCAGCCCAGUGCCACGCCAAAGCUCGCGAGACUGGAGGCAAAUGUCGCGAGAGUCCAAUCUCGCGGAGGGACGGCCCUUGUGCCCCGCCCCUCAGUAUCAGCGGUCCAAUCCCAAGUCCGCAGCGCUGUGCGAGCUGUCAACCACGGCUGGCGCAGCAUCGCGAGAGUUCCUGGUUGUCUGACCAGUGAAUGAACGGGCAAGUGAAGCCGAGGUUUCCAGAGCCGACGUGGCCUUUUGGCUUCUUCUCUUUCUCGGGGUUGAUACGAGUUUCCAUAAAUUUCCUUACGCUGUUUGUGUCGAGUUUAAAGACUCUUGGGUGCCGGGGGUGGUGACGCACACUAAUCCCAGCACUCAGGAGGCAGAGGCAGGCGGGUCUCUGAGUUUGAGGCCGGCCUGGGCUACAGAGUGAGUUCCAGGACAGUCAGAGCUACACAGAGAAACCCUGUCUCGAAAAACCAAAAAAACAAAAAAAAAAAAGUCAGGGAACCGGAUGUGCCUCACUUGCGCCUGCCAGGCUGAGACCAGAGGCUGCCCGCCAGCUUGAGGCCACCCUGGAUUACUGAGACUUUCUCAAAAAACAAACAAUGAAACCAAACAAAAAGCAACAACAAAGUCCCAAGCAAAACACAAACCAUGGUGUUGCACACCUCGUAAGUGAAGUUCAAAGUCACCCUGAGCUACAUAACAAAUACGUCCGAAUUUGAGGAAACCAGAAGGUGGCUGUAGCGAUGGCGGCGCAGCACUGGUUGCAGAGGAACUGGGUUCAAUCCCAAGACCCACAUGGUGGCAUACAACCAUCCGUAACCCCAGCUCCAGGUCUCAUCGCUAUUAGGUACAACAUUUUGGACUCACCAAAAUAGGAUAAAUAAUGGAGUAUUUUCUCUGAAUGUGUCAAAUGUUUGUGGACUGGACAUUGUUAAUAUAAUUAUUGACUAUAUAUUAUAUAUAGUUAUUGUACUUUUGUUUAUAGUUUUUCUUUUAUUAGUUAUAACCUUUUAUUAUUUUAGAUGAAAAAGGGGAAAUGUGGUGAAAUAUUGUGUACCCUAAUUAAGCUUGCCUAAGGAUCAGAGAACAGAACAAGCCACUAGAUUAAACAUGGAAACUAGGCAGUGGUGGUACACACCUUUAAUCCUAAUACUCGAAGGCAGAGAUCUGUCUGGAUCUCUGUGGGUUCAAAGCCACCCUGGACUAUAUGAGAUUGAUUUAGUCUAAAAGAGAAACAGAGCCAGGCAGUAGUGGCACACACCUUUAAUCCUAAUACUUGGGAGUGACACUCCUUUAAUCCUAGCACUUGGGAUCUCAUGGCUUUGCUACCAGUAUUUGGGAAGCACACAUGCCAUUAUUCCAGCACUAGGAAGGAAGUGAAAUGGCUGGGUAGAGAAAGGUAUAUAAGGCCUGAGGAGACAGGAACUAGAGCCUUUUGGCUGAGACCUUUUUGGCUGAGGACUCAGAGGCUUGCAGUCUGAGGAUUCGUGUAGAUAGGAUCUUGUCUCCAUUUUGGCCUGAGGAUUUCAGUAAUAGUAAGUUUCUCUAGUGGCUUGUUCCUUUGUCUCUCUGAUCUUUCAGCAUUUACCCCAAUAUCUGGGUCUGGGCUUUUCAUUAUAAGACCACUGAGGAUGGUCUUAUUGUGUCCUUGUUUUACUUCAUGUUUCAGCAGUCUUGUUGGUGAGAUUUAUGGGUGUAGCUUCUGACAUUACUAGGGUACAAUCUCACAACAAACUCCCAGAUCCUCUCUCUUACAGUCUUUCUGCCCCCUUGGGCAAACAUUCCCUGAGCAUUAGAUGUGGGAGUUGUUUUGUAGAUGUAGCUGUUGGGAUUGGACUCCACAUCUUGAUUGGUUGUAGUUUUCUGCAAUAGUCUCUGUUUAUUGUAAAGAGAAGAAGCCUCCUUGAUGAGGGGUAAGAACUACAUUUAUCAGGGCUAGCCCCUGAAGAAAAAUGUCUCCUCUGCCCAAGUUUGUAUUUUGGUGGCCAGUCGACCCAGCUUUUUGUUGUUUUUGUUUCUUUCCCUAGAAGCUGGGGAUGUAGCUCAGUGGUGCAGGACCUACUUAGAGCGUGUGAGGUUCUAGGUUCCAUCGACAGCAUGGAAGGGAGAAGGGAAGCAAGGGGGAGGGAGAGUAGAGGACAGAGAAGGGGAGGGAAGAGAAAACCAAUGUAUCAACUUCAAGUUCAUGAAAACUUUCUCCUGUUUUCAUCUGGGAACUUAAGUUUCUCCUUUUAUGUUUAAAUCCAGUCUUCAGAAAACCAUUAAAAAUUGUGAUAAGGAUGCUGAAGUGUAGCUCUUCAAGGUUGACAGCUUCUGGUGGAGGUGGGGGUGGGGAAGGGCUCAGUCUUCUCUAAGGGGCUGUCCACUGGGAGUUUGACCAUGCCCAGUGAGUAUAUGGACAACACAAAACAGAACUUGUUUUUUCCUUCUGCUGUUUUGGGGAAGGUCACAAUGGUUGGGGGCAGACCUGGGAGGACUGGAGUGAAUGUGAUCAGAGUGCAUUAUGUGAAAUUUCCAAAUAAUCAAUACAGAAUUACAUAAUAAAUCAAUCAAUCCAGUCUUCCUGUGUUACAUAGGAUGGGAUUAGAACCUUGGAGGCCGGCCUGUGUUCCAUAGCCAUUUGUUGUAGACUUUUGUUUUUUGUUUUUUUGAGACAGGCUUUCUCUGUGCAGUUUUGGUGCCUAUCCUGGAUCUGCUCUGUAGACUAGGCUGACCUUGAACUCACAGAGAUCCUCCUGGCUCUGCCUCCCGAGUGCUGGGAUUAAAGGCAUGUGCCACCACCGCCCGGCCAUACUUUUGUUUUUUAUUUAUGGCUAAUACUAUUUUUUCAACCCAUAAUUACUUGGAUUUAUGACCACAUAUGAUUAUCAGUGCCAUACUGCCAUUUUUAUAAAAUUGUUGUUUUAUAAAAUUGUAAAGCCUGCAUUAUAUUAUCCUUACCAUUUUUAAGUGCAGUUCAGUGGUAUGAAGUACAUUCACCUUAUGGCACAGCCAUCACCAUCAACUGACUCAGAAGGUUCAUCUGGCAGAACUGUAACCAUGGCCCUUCACAAACUCAUUUCCCUCUCCCCUUCACCCUAUUCUGCACAAUACCUCUACUUUGUCAGUUUAGUGACUGUUAGCACCUCCUGUUUGUAGAAUCAUGUUGUGCAGGUCUGUUUUGGUUAUCAACUUGACUGUAUCUGGAACCAACUAGAAUCCAAGCCGCUGGGCACUCCUGUGAGGGAUUCUUCUCAUUGGAUUAUUUGAAAGAGGAAGAUUCACCCUAACUGCGAGCCACACUUUUCUUUUUCUGGAUAAAAGGACCUGGAAGGAGACUCUGACCACUCACACUGUCACUACUAAGUUCAUCUGUCCUUUGCUGGUUGAUAUGAAAACCAGCUUCUUUGUGAUUCCAACACAGACUGAUGACAGCAGUUCUCCAAGGAUCUUCCAGGCCUCCAGGGGUCUCAUGUGGCCCAGGCUAACUUUGAUCCGGGGCCUCUACUUCCCAGGUAUGCCUAGUGCUGGUUAUUCAACUUUUUUGCCUCUCAGCUCUGAAUGCACCCUUUGCUUGAUUCUCUGUAAUGUGUAAUUCAGCCUUAAGCAGGGAUACUUGCUUCAACCUCUCUCCCUGAAAAGAAACUUUGGUAUUUUUUAUAACCUAGGAGAAGAAAAGAGGUGGAAGAAAGGCGAGACCAGGGCUGUGUGAUGGCGUUAGCUGAUUACAAAGACAUUGGGGUACUGAAGAGAAGUGUACAUCAUUGUUGUGGGGUAUUUGUACACUGUGUGAAGAUAUAUUGAUGUGACUGGUUCAAUAAAGAGCUGAACAGCCAAUAGCUAGGCAGGAGAUACAGGCAGGACUUCUGGGCAGAGAGGAAGGAAGCCGAUGAAUCUACUUGUCCAAGAGACACCAGGAGACACAGAAGAAGCAGGAUGGGCAGUACGUGACAGAACGUAGAUUAAUAGAAAUAGGUUAAUUUAAGUUAUAAGAGCUAGUAAAAAAAAAAAAAAAAAAAAACAAGCCUAGGCUAAGGCCAACCUUUCAUAAUAAGUCACUCUGUUGUUAUUUGAAAGCUGGCUGGUGGGACAGAAAGACUCGUUACACGUCAUUUAUUAUUACUUGAUAUCAGAGUUAAAUUAAGAAGCACUGUUGAUUCUGGUGAUGUGGCAUUGCUGUCACGUACCUCAGUUUAGUUUUCCAGUGGGGUCUGCUUUAUUACUAAAAUAUUUACACUUAGAAUAUAGUACAGUUAGCAGCAACUUUCUUCUCAGUCUAGAAAGAGCCACAGACUUCUCACCCAAGUGGCUCAGUUACUAACAAUUCUGUCUCUGUUUCAUAGGAGAUGGGUUCCAUUCCGUCAUUCCGCAUCAACAGCCUCCUAUAAGAUUAUUCCACUGCCUUUGUAAGGCUGCCUGUGUUGGCAUCUGCGAUGGUAGCUAAAUAAAUGAGAUUUCUAUGCAA